UUUGAUAAAGGAUCACCUAGUAACAUGCACUGAGGUAUCUAAUGGUAAACCACAAAGUAGUAGUGAUGGUGUGGUUGAAGGAACGAUUAAUAACACCAUUAAUAUGGACUUUAAUGAUGAUGAUGCAGGACCUUUACAUUCCUAUGCCCAUGAAGAAGUUUUUGAUGAAUUCAGAUCAGAUUCAGAUCAAUCAGAUAAUGAUAGUAUCCCUCCACUUCCUCCUCCUACAGUUAA